AUUGAACGCUGGCGGCAGGCCUAACACAUGCAAGUCGAACGAGUGGCGGACGGGUGAGUAAUGUCUGGGAAACUGCCUGAUGGAGGGGGAUAACUACUGGAAACGGUAGCUAAUACCGCAUACCAUCAGCUGUGCCCAGAUGGGAUUAGCUAGUUGGUGGGGUAACGGCGCACCAAGGCGACGAUCCCUAGCUGGUCUGAGAGGAUGACCAGACACACGGGAACUGAGAGACGGUCCAGACUCCUACGGGAGGCAGAAGUGGGGAAUAUUGCACAAGGGGCGCAAGCCUGAUGCAGCCAUGCCGCGUGUAGGAAGAAGGCCUGCGGGUUGUAAAGUACUUUCAGCGGGGAGGCGGUACCCGCAGAAGAAGCACCGGCUAACUCCGUGCCAGCCGCCGCGGUAAUUC
rnacentral:rRNA from 1 species